rnacentral:rRNA from 1 species
AUUGAACGCUGGCGGCAUGCUUUACACAUGCAAGUCGAACGCGAAAGGGGGCAACCCUGAGUAGAGUGGCGCACGGGUGAGUAAUGCAUCGGAACGUGUCCUGUAGCGGGGGAUAACCUAGCGAAAGCUAGGCUAAUACCGCAUACGCCCUGAGGGGGAAAGUGGGGGAUCGCAAGACCUCACACUAUAGGAGCGGCCGAUGCCGGAUUAGCUAGUUGGUGGGGUAAAAGCUCACCAAGGCGACGAUCCGUAGCUGGUCUGAGAGGAUGAUCAGCCACACUGGGACUGAGACACGGCCCAGACUCCUACGGGAGGCAGCAGUGGGGAAUUUUGGACAAUGGGCGCAAGCCUGAUCCAGCAAUGCCGCGUGCAGGAUGAAGGCCUUCGGGUUGUAAACUGCUUUUGUACAGAACGAAACGGUCCUUUCUAAUACAAGGGGCUAAUGACGGUACUGUAAGAAUAAGCACCGGCUAACUACGUGCCAGCCGCCGCGGUAA